rnacentral:rRNA from 1 species
GACGAACGCUGGCGGCGUGCUUAACACAUGCAAGUUGAACGGUGAAGCGCCUUCCUUUUUGGUGGGUGUGGAUGAGUGGCGAACGGGUGAGUAACACGUGAGUAACCUGCCCCCUUCUUCUGGAUAACCGCAUGAAAGUGUGGCUAAUACGGGAUAUUCUGGGUCUGUCGCAUGAUGGGUCUGGGAAAGAUAUUGUUUCGGUGGGGGAUGGGCUCGCGGCCUAUCAGCUUGUUGGUGGGGUGAUGGCCUACCAAGGCGGUGACGGGUAGCCGGCCUGAGAGGGUGGACGGUCACACUGGGACUGAGACACGGCCCAGACUCCUACGGGAGGCAGCAGUGGGGAAUAUUGCACAAUGGGCGCAAGCCUGAUGCAGCGACGCCGCGUGAGGGAUGGAGGCCUGCGGGUUGUGAACCUCUUUCGCCAGUGAAGCAGGCCUGCCUCGUUUGUGGGUGGGUUGACGGUAGCUGGAUAAGAAGCGCCGGCUAACUACGUG